rnacentral:lncRNA from 1 species
UACAACAUAGCUAGUAACAAAAUCCAGAUCUAAUUUUUAAUCAUCUUGCAUAAAAAAAAAACAAUCUCUAUUCACAUGCUUUGUAUCUUCAAUUGAGACCUGAAUCUUUGUAGAUGUACAAAUUAAACCAAGUUGUCACUACAAAUAAAAGACUCAUUAGAUAUUAUAAUCAUAAAAGGAAAGCUUUAACCAAAGUACCUUAAUUCUGAUUAUAAAGCCAAUUUAACCGUCAAGAAACAUAUACCAAUAAAGCUAAAAAGCAAAGUUUUCUGUUCUUUUUUAAAAUUCAUUUGCUAAGUAUUAAAACUGAAACCUGCUUAUCUGAAGGUACCAUAUAUGUUCUCGUCAUAUAAACAGACUAUGUUGGAAUGGUUGCUAUGUGAUUAGUUUUAGUUGGAUAACAAACAAAUGAAAACUGAACCUCAACCAAUUCACUUAAAAUUUGUAUAUAUUUACCAAAAUGUCAUUACUCCCAAAAUCACUUGCUCAAACCUCGAUUUAGUCCGUCCAGAUGCAAAAUUUCAUUAACAAGCUUAACAAAAUUAUCACGUUUAACGUGAACAAAAUUAGCUCAAAUAAAACUUACUUUACCAAACAUAUCUACUCUGUGAAAUCAAUUAUUCAAGGUCAAGAUGAGAGGUCUUAUAUAGUUGCAUUAAAUAAAUAAAAUAAAAGUUCAAAAACAGAAUUUCAACAAUACAAACAACACUGUAUUCCAGUCAUAUAAACAGGUUAUGUACAUGAGGCGACUUUAUCAAGAUUUACAAAUUGAAGAAGAGGAAUAAAGAACCUUUGUGCAGAAAAUUCACCGGAAUCAACGGACCUCCGGACUCGCCGAAAAAUCUGUAAAAACUCACAGCUCAACAGAAGCGCAACAACAGAUUCAACCGCAGUCUUAAACCAAAGCAGUGCUUAUGAACCCAGCAAAAUAAAAAUUACCAGUAGCAUCAAACUUCACUCAAAAGCUUUAAGGAAAAUCUAAGAAUGUGCAGCAAUUUACGUCAAACUUAGGAACAACCUUUAAUUUUUCUUUUUGGUCGACUUUAUUCUGUUCCUGAGAACGCAGUAGCUUUGGAAAGGCUAAUGGAGGAAUCCGAUUAUGUUCUAUCGUUUUAGAUGUUAGGGGUGGCGGCCUAUCUCGUUGGGAGCUAGGGAGCGAUGGC